CUUGACCUACUUAAGAACAACAUUAGCAUGGCAUGACGUGUCAGCGCCCCUGACUAAUUUAGACGGAGAGCCGUCACUCUUUACUCAGUGCCGGGUGGCUGGAAGUUGGACAAAACCGCUUCUUUAAACGCCGGCACACAACUGGAGUAGAACCACUCUGUCCGUGUAGCGAGACAGGAGACAAACGGUAGAAACGACUCCUGAUUCUGGGCGCUAGAAGAGAGAGAAGUCCGAGUGCGGAGAGAGGAUGAAGACUGCGGUGGUGUUAGUGAUGGCCAUUCUGUUGGUCAGUGGUCUGGCCAGCGCGGCACCGGCGGGGCGCAAGAUCGCCUGUAACAAAGCCCUGCACUGCACUAACAGUGACGGUUCCGUCUGUAACGUGCUGUCCGGCUUCACCAGCAAAUGUUCCUGCACUUUGGUGGACAAAUGUGGCUAGCAGGUCACACCGACAUCCCAUACACCGGGCGCCUCUACCGACCGACCAGAUCUUCAUGCGACGUCGACGGUUAACUAAGGCACGCCCGGCACAGAGCUAAACCACGCUUUUGGACAAUUACAAGUCCGGAAAAAUAAAACUAUGCUUAAUGUCUGAAAAAUUAAACUAUGCUUGAUAUAGGAAUAAGAUGUUUAAAAAGAGUAGCAUUGACUUUUUAGCCAGCUUUACGCACCCAGGCCAAGCCAAAAAUGUCGACGUAGCACCCUCCACCCAGUGUAAGAAUAUCGGCAUGGCAUGACAUGAAUGCAUACGUAAAUGUACCGUUUUGUUUGACGCUCUUGAAAGGUUGUUGACAACUGUCUUGUUUACAGCCACAGGUUCCUCCGUGCUUUGUUUAACGUGACAGAUCAUUUACCCUAAACUAUCGUGUUUUCCCAUGGACCUUUCAAUCUUUUGCCAGGUUACGUCCCUUAAAUGUUUUACAACGUUUGGUAAAUCAUAUGUUACGCGCCGUAACAUGGGGAAAAUUUUGUAAGAACUUAAACGAAUUUGAACUUUUGCAAAGUAAACCCUUUUAUUUCGUAAAAAUGUUUCUGAAUACUAGCAUACAAAUUACUAUAUGGGUAAAAUAAUUCGACUAUGUUUAUCUAUAAGACAGGCCUGGUCUUUGUUAACAGCUAUUUUAUAUUAAACAGAGUUUCUGCUCUUU